rnacentral:lncRNA from 1 species
AUUGGCAUAUUUUCUACCUGUGUUCUGCCCCUUUCUGCAGGUUUAGAAGGAAAAAUUACCCAACUCACAGCAAGUUACUGCCUUUGGAUGCCAAUACAAAGCCAUCGGCACUGCAGGCUGUUAGCAGGUGUUCCUAAGAAGUCUGAUCUGGGUUGACACUUCAUGAGUUCACAUGCAGGUGGGGUCUCCGUAACACACCUUGACACCAACCCCCAGUGCAUAACUGGUGGCCACAAUGAGCUCCAACAGAUAUGACUGCUUCUUAGCAAAAAUAAAAGAGUACCAGGAGGAAAAUCUUCUUCAGAAACCUCUCUGAGUCCAUUUGGGGCAGAGGAUGAGAAGAGAUAUGCCUGGAGAAAGUAAAGAACUGAAAGUAUGCCAAUAAUUCAUGGUUGGUGACAUGGAUAGCAGAGCAGGAGCUAGGAAUCCAGACUCCCAACUCAGCCAGAGCUGGCCUUGAAUACAGCUUUGUAAGGCUGUCAGAAUUCUUAACGUCUCUGAGUUCAUCCAUCUACAAGAUCCUGCUUCUGGCUGCCAUUCUUUAGUCAAACUCUUUGAAAGGAAGCCCACAUUCAACACUUCUGCUUCUCUGCUCUUCGUUCCACAAACUUCUGUCAAUCUGCAUCCCCACCCCGUCUUGCUUCUCUCCUGACAUUGGUCUUUUGAAGGACCUCUUUUGAUAGAAAACAGCCUUAUCUCUGGUGCAUAUAUUUCUUACUUUCAUCUCCUUUUAUAC